AAAUAGAUGUGUUUGAUUAUGGCACAGAUGUAAGCUAGUAAAUAAGAAUAAACAUGCUAGUCGAAUAAUAUAUGAUAAAUAUAAUGUGGCGUAAAAAUGAGUAAAAGGAUUAAAGAUACCUUUAUAAUUAUUAAUAAUAUAAAGAAUCAAGAUCCCCUGAUUAGAUUGUUGGAUAAGGUAAAAGCUUAGCCAAGUCGUUGAUCAGUAACUGGCUUUAUCGAGCGAACAGUCAUGCAGAUUAUGAGAAAGGAUCUGUCUAUUUUUUAAUAAAAUAGGCUGCAGUUAAGAGUAUUUGGCAAUGAACGAAAGUUUGACCAAGUUAAUUUACGUUUAGGAAGAAGGUGUAUUAACUGUAAACUAAUAGAAACUAAUAAAAAAAUGAUUAAAAUUAGUGUAAGGGCUGUCUAACCAGUUGUGCCAGCAGACGCGGUUAUACAACGAGCUCGAGUUUAUAUCAGUAUUACUAGAUUUUAAAGACCUGAAGGCUGCAUAUAAAGAUAAAAAAGUUGAAAGACUAGUAUAAAACUAGAAAGUUUUUAUUUAAUGCUUGAAUAGACAGAAAGUAAAUUGAAGUGUAGAUAAAGCAGUAGAAUGUGUUAACAUCUAUAAGAAAACCAUAUUUGAAAAAUAUUUACUUCUAUAUAUUGACGCUGCAGGGUGAAAGUAUGGAAAGCAACACAGAUUAGAUACCUGUUUAGUCCAUACUGUAAACUAUAAAUGUUGGGGAAAUUAUGAUUUAAUUAAAGGUAUUUUAUCUUUGAGAAGAACAUAUUUCUCUAAGAGAAAUCAAUAACAUUUUAUCUGGGAACUAAAAUCGCAAGAUUCAAAUCCAAAUAAAUUGACGGCAUUCCAAAAAACUGGUGUAGUAUGAAGCUUAAUUCGAUAAUCCGCGCAGAAACUUACCAAAAUUAGAAUUCUAAUUAAUAUACUUUUUUAAAGUAUUAAAUUAAAAAUAACAGGUGUUGCAUGGUCGUUUUCAGUUCGUGAUUUGAGUUUUUAACCAAGACUUUAGAACGGGCAAAACCUACCGAAUUAUAAUUAAUUAAAUUCGACUACUUAUAGACUAAAACUGAUCCUUAUGACCUAUAUAUUUUGGGCCGCAUUUGUGCUACAUUAAUAGAUACAAAAAAGAAAACAAAAUACUUAACUUUGUUUAGAAUUAAUUUCUAUUAAGUACGGACUGUUUUCUGGAACUCGAAAACAUGAAGAAGGAAUCAGAAGUAAUUAAAUUAUAGAACGAUUUAAUGAAUAAUAAUAAGAAUCACAGAUGAAUAAAAGAUUU
rnacentral:rRNA from 1 species